rnacentral:lncRNA from 1 species
UUAACAGAACAAAUUUCAAUACAUUUCUUUGCUUUUGGGAGUAAAAAAUAGACGGAGCUUUUCAAACUCCAGAAAAGUUCAAUAUUUCCUUAGGUAUGCCGUUUUGUCUCAGUCUCCCCUAUAUCUAAUAACGUAUGUAGCGAAACAUCAUUUCGCGUUCCAUUUAAACGUUAAGUACGAAGAAUGAUUACGAGAGGGCGCGUGGCAACAGUGAAUCCUGCUUGUUAUUCCGCUUAUUCCACUUAGUUCAAUUGGGAAACUUGUAAACGGGUAGUUUGAUAACAAAUUUUGAAAAUUUUCGAAAACAAUUGGAAACGCUAUCGCUCCGGUAAAGUCUCUCUGGCAGCGACUCGUCAUAACAUAACAAAUGUACUUGUCCCAGAGUUGCUGCUGCGACUUUAGAUAUAUUUAUCAUUAGAAUGGUACAGAUGUUCAAAAACAUGAGGCGUUUUGAUGUUUCAAAUGUGACGUAGCCAUAAAUUUUUUUCUGUUUCGAUUGAAACAUUAGGUGGAAAAAGUGGACUAGUGGACAUCGGAACAUGUCACAUUUUGACUGCUAAAUCCAUACAGCCCUUCACCUUUUGCUUAUCCGAACCAUUUCGUAACAGGAGCUACUACGGUUUCAAGCCCCCUUCCUCUCCAUCACAAUGUCAUUCUCCCUCGAAUUCUGAGUGUACACGUAUAAAGAAGGGGUUGUAGAAGAGGGCGGUUUAUUCAACAUUGUAAAGAGGAGUUCGCUGGAACCGCUGGAACGGAUGACUAGAAUUUGUUAAAAGAGGUGAGAAGUUGCGAGAGCGAGAACGCGAGCUAGAGAGGAGGCUUGAUCCAGUGAACUGUGUCGAGGGAAUAGAAUUAGAGAGCUCUAUCAGGACGGCUCGAGUCCGUAUCCUGGCGAAAUAAUACGCGUACCGAUAGAUUUUCAAAGGUGUCGUCCACCGCUCUGGUACUAAAUAAAAGAGGGAGAGUUUUGUCAAAGGGGAGAAACGGCGUUGGAUUACGAGCUUUAAAACGAUGCAUCUUUUCCUCGAGUUUUAUUUAUUCUCUCCUUUUCCCCUAGGCUCGUACCUGCGCUCUAAAAAAUUUGAUUUCUCUCUCUCCCUCUCUCUCUCUCUCGCUUAUCUGUUCCCAUCUCGUUGUGUGUGUAUUAGGAGCCUCGAGUACGUACCUCGUGUGAGCGCGUUUUCUAAAUAUAAGCGUGUGACGAACUUUGGGUGCGAAUUCUCGUUUCGUUUGACGAUUCUCCUUCUAAAACCUCCUCGAAGAACGUACGAAUUUCAUAGCCUCCCUAGAGGUGAAUACGCUGCGGUACGGCCCUAAGAGAAAGGAGUAGAACAGAGAGAGAGAGAGAGAGAGAGAGAGAGAAAUAUUCUCUACGCUUCUCACUUUUUACACAUUGACGUUUCAUAACCUCGUUAAAUUCUUGGCAUUUUUACCGGAAGAACUGAAGAGCGGAGAUAAGUGAACGAAUAUUAGAAUGAAGAAGAAAAUAAACGUGGAAAAAAAUACUGUAAAGCUCAACACCGAUAUUCACAGAUAAUUUAUUCUCGGCAUAGUAAGUUCUUCGUAUCGGAUUACGGUGCGCUAUUCCUGCUUAGCCAUCUCUCUUUUCCUUUUUCGAGAGAGAGAGGGAGAAGGAGAGGUAUUGCUUCUGAUUUUAGUGCUCCCUACUGGAAACGAGCAGUACAUACGCACCGAAAUACUCUUUUCUGCGAACAAAAUAUCUCAUUGUGAGAAUGUUUUAUAUUCUUGGAUUUUCUUGUACUAUAGAAAAUCUAUGUUCGAUGAUGAAUAUAUUUGUUUAAUAUGAAUUUGAAGCUCGCACAGGAAAGUGAGAAUAGGACUAAUUUCGUGAACGGAGCUACAACGUUUAUAAAUAGAAGUGAGUGCGGACGCACAAGUAGGCAAAUGCCUUGAAAAUAUAUCUACGGUCAAAAUACUUCUUGUGAUCUCGCCUCAUUCAUCGUGUGAUCAUUGUUAGGGAUGUUCGACUCAUCUCGCUGAAGUGAUGCUAUAGCUCGAUGAAAGAUUCUUUUUGUUUCCUUCCUGCGUUCAUCAUUAUUUUUCCUUUCAUCGUAUCUAACAAACAGUCGCUGUGAUCCACGCGUUUAUUUCCGACCAUGUCGCACCCACUUGGCUAACGGAAUUAAUGUUCAAGAUAUUUGACCAUUUCAAUGGAGCUGCAUAGAGUGAUCAAUGUAUCGUAAAACAUGCAUGCAAAUUGUAUCACUAUAUGCGGAGAAAAUUUGGGAAAAGAGUUGAUUGAAAUUUAGUAGAAGUUGCUGGGCGUUUGAAAAAUGUUCAUUUCCGAUUGUAGAGAUUUUGAUUAAAAAAUAGAUCGCAUGUACGUGAGCCAACUUUUCACCAAUUUAUAUUUUGUGUUGGUUGUUGUUAUUCGUUGAUUACAAAAUGACAGAAUGCAUUUUGUUUCUCCAUAACACAAGUGUAAUAGGCAGUUCCGACGUUGUCGAAGACGCUUCGUGUUUCAAGCCCAAAGAGAAAUGCGAGGAGUGUCGAACCGAAGCGAGUGACGAAGGAGAUGAAGAUGAAGCGGAGGUUUCGGGACGAAUAGGAACGAACGGAGAAUGCCACUCAAAUUACAAAACCGAAAGGAAAAUGGCGUGUACACGGAAGAUAUAGCAAGUUCUAAUUGAGCACUUGGAGGUUCUCAGGAUAAUAAAUAUAUCAAGAUGUAAAGACGCAUCGUCGAGACAAGAAAUGUUCCAAGUUGGCCAAAACUGAUCUCGUCUUACGUAAGGCCUCAGCUUCCGUGCAAAACGAGGGAAGAGGCUGUGACUUUGCCAACCGAGAACAAAGUUCGAAUUUCAAGGUGUACGAGGAGACUACUUGGCAUCAAGACGCCGCAGCGUCUCUAGAUAUUGAGAAAACCAUACCGAACGAUUUAAUCACAAAAAAUAAAGCAUGAGGUGGCUGGUGGCUAUUUCGUACUCCGUACUAACGAGACCAUAUUGAACCAAAAUAUCUUUUUGAUUAUGCCGAUUGACGAUUCGGAUAAUCGCAUUUAUACACAACCGGAAACGGGAUAUAUAUUCGGCAUCGAUAGGAUACGAAACCGCGAGUACUUCGAUGACCGCGUUUUCAUCUCUAACGAGAUACUCUUCCCGCUCCCUCUCUCCGGUGCUCGCGGAUUCUCGGGUUUCUCAAUUAUACUUGUGCUCGCAGGAACACAAGGACGAACGAGAUAUCAAUUUACUGUCCGAAGCAGAGUCGCUGUUGUCGAGUACCCGGGGGCUUCCGGGUCCAGUCUGUAAGGACGAAGAGCGUGAGGACGGGCGAUGUCCUCCUCCGAGGCUGCCGUUAUCUUUGGUCGAGCCGAGGGAUC